rnacentral:rRNA from 1 species
AUUGAACGCUGGCGGCAGGACUAACACAUGCAAGUCGAGCGGAGCGGCGGACGGGUGAGUAAUGCCUAGGAAUCUGCCUGGUAGUGGGGGAUAACGUCAGGAAACGGGCGCUAAUACCGCCUACUCUCAGCUGAGCCUAGGUGGGAUUAGCUAGUGGGGGGGGUAAAGGCCUACCAAGGCGACGAUCCGUAACUGGUGUGAGAGGAUGAUCAGUCACAUUGGAACUGAGACACGGUCCAGACUCCUACGGGAGGCAGCAGUGGGGAAUAUUGGACAAUGGGCGAAAGCCUGAUCCAUCCAUGCCGCGUGUGUGAAGAAGGGCUUCGGAUUGUAAAGUACUUUAAGUUGGGAGGCGUUACCAACAGAAUAAGCACCGGCUAACUCCGUGCCAGCAGCCGCGGUAAUAC